rnacentral:snoRNA from 1 species
UAAAUACAUAUGAUGAGUGCAUAGUUCAUCUGAAUAGAUUUGUAUGUACAUAUAUAUUUGAUGACAAAGCAAUCCAAAAUAGUCUUUCGCUCCUAUCUGAAUUAUGGU